CAUGCAUGUAUUAAGGAUUAAUAAGUUUGAAUUUUACUGUUCUUUUAACACCGGGGAUAAGCAAAAAAGCUAGUAUUUUGGCUCGAUUGAUCGUCAAUCAAGUGAUGUCAUUUGUUUGCCACGUUUCUGGGAAUGCGUUGAAAACGACGUGGGGGCUGAAAUUGCAUGAGCGCUGCCAUGACGAUGUAAAAGCAUUUUCAUGCUGUUAGAAACAGUUAUACACCACGGAGAGCUUGACGCGCCAUAUGUGCAACACACAUGGAUCCAAUAAGUAGUUUCUGUGCCCGAAAUGCAUGCAUGAGGUGACCACACAUACAUACCUGAACAGGCAUUGGCGAGGAGAAGAUGGCACGACACGUUAUACGUGCGACAUGUGUGGGAUUUCAAUGGAGGAGAAAUAGACCUGAAGGCUCAUAUGGACGGCUAUACUGGCGAGAAAUCAUACCAGUGCGCUGAAUGUGGGAAAUGUUAUCGGCAUAGAAGUAGAUUGUGCAAGCAAAAGUUAUUAAACACACCAAAUAAAACAUCAAAUUUUAGAUAAUAAGUAUCUUUCAUGGCCGAGAGUGCAAGGUUCAUCCAAACCCGAACAUAGAGUGUAUUGCGGAAGCGGGGUUUACCGUGUUUCCGCAAAACACCCUGCGAGAGGGGUGGGAUGAACCUAUCUUACACGAGCGGCGAUGAUCCUGGAAAAACCUGGAAAUCUUUUGUGCGUAGUGAAUAUAAUGCGCGUAUAGAUUUGUAAUAAUUCGUGGUUGUUAUGGAUAUGUGUGCAGUGAUUCAGAUUAUGUUUAUGUUAUGAUUAAAUAUUUAUAGUUCUAAAAAUAUGAAAGCGUUAUUUCUUAAACGGAGCGCGAAAUUUUUUCUAUUGCUCCAUUUGAAGCGAGAAAUAAUCAAUUUUGAUGUUUAAAAUUGCCACGAGACAAUGUUUUCAUGAUGCUACAGACGGCAGUCGUCUACAAGGGAGGUAAUUGUGUGAUGACGAUUGAAAAAAUGAAUUUCAUACUGGUACUUGUUUUAUCUUGGCCCUUGCCAAAUUUUUAGGUCAACUUAUCUGAUGUGCAAGAAAGUAGAAUCUCAGACAGAUCAUGACAAAAGUAUUGUUUAUUAAUUAAUCGUUAUGUUAUUUGAUUACUUAUCUUUGAUUUUAUCUGAUUAUCUGUGAUCGCUUUUAUUGUCAAUAAUUUUAUUCAAUGUAUAAAACUAAUCUAAGAUAUACAGUUAUAGAAUAAAUGAAGAACAUUUC